rnacentral:rRNA from 1 species
AGUGAACGCUGGCGGUAGGCCUAACACAUGCAAGUCGAACGGCAGCACAGUAAGAGCUUGCUCUUACGGGUGGCGAGUGGCGGACGGGUGAGGAAUACAUCGGAAUCUACUUUUUCGUGGGGGAUAACGUAGGGAAACUUACGCUAAUACCGCAUACGACCUACGGGUGAAAGCAGGGGAUCUUCGGACCUUGCGCGAUUGAAUGAGCCGAUGUCGGAUUAGCUAGUUGGCGGGGUAAAGGCCCACCAAGGCGACGAUCCGUAGCUGGUCUGAGAGGAUGAUCAGCCACACUGGAACUGAGACACGGUCCAGACUCCUAAGGGAGGCAGCAGUGGGGAAUAUUGGACAAUGGGCGCAAGCAUGAUCCAGCCAUACCGCGUGGGUGAAGAAGGCCUUCGGGUUGUAAAGCCCUUUUGUUGGGAAAGAAAAGCAGCAGGUUAAUACCCCGCUGUUCUGACGGUACCCAAAGAAUAAGCACCGGCUAACUUCGUG